rnacentral:misc_RNA from 1 species
GAGAGAGUGUGUGUGUGUGUCUUCGAUAGUGAUACCAAGACCUACCACCACUAGCUACUGCGAACGAGGCCCCAAAAACCAAAACCGGAUAUGCUCAUACGCUUCUCCUGUCCCGCUCGCGCUCUCUUUCUGUCUUCUCUUAUCUCCUUCUUGUUCUUGUUAUUCUUUCCAUUUCAUCUUACCUUUUCUUCUCUCUGAUCUAAUCUUUAUAACACACAAUGCUUUAAAUCUUUAUCCAAUAAAGAAUCCUUCAAUUUAUCCAAUAAAGAACCCUUCAAUUUCUUGGCUCUAAAACCUUUCUUUCUAUCUUCACUUCUUCACUCACUCAUACCAGAUAUAUUUAUUUAUUGAGAUAGAAAAGAGCUCUGAAAAUGGGGGUUGAUUUGAGGCAAGUUGUUGCUGGUAUACUCACUCUCACAAUGUUCGUGAUGCUUGGGAACAUGAUCAAGAGAGACCACUUUGAUUCUGUUGAAGAAAAAUUUCCGGGAGGAGCUGUGGAUGCUGAAUUUGAUAGUGGGAAGGUUAUGGAGCAGGGCCUUGUAACAUUUACAAAGAUGGGUAAUGGGCCUUGGAUGGAGGAUGGCCAACAGCUAAAACCGUGCUGGACAGAGUCAAAUUUUGAUCAGGUAGAGCAGUCCAAAGGGUUUGUCACUUUCUCAUUAACUAAUGGGCCAGAAUAUCAUAUCUCGCAGAUUGCUGAUGCAGUAGUGGUAGCAAGAUAUGUUGGAGCAACUCUUGUGAUUCCUGACAUUAGAGGAAACAAGCCAGGUGAUGAGAGGAAGUUUGAAGAAGUAUAUGAUGUUGAGAAAUUUGUGAAAAGCCUGGAUGGGGUAAUCAAAGUGGUCAAGGAUCUACCUGAUGAUAUAUCAAUUCGAGAUUUUGCUGUUGUCAAGGUCCCUAAUCGUGUUACAGAAGAUCACAUUGCAGAAUUAGUUGAACCAAUCUUUAGAACGAAGGGGAACAUAAGACUGGCUACUUACUUCCCCUCAGUAAAUAUGAGAAAGACCACACUAAAAAGUAACACUGAUUCAGUUGCGUGUUUAGCAAUGUUUGGAACUUUAGAGUUGCAGCCAGAGGUUAAUGAAGUUGUUGACUCCAUGAUCGAGCGGUUAAAAACCCUGAGUCGCAAGUCUGAUGGCCGGUUUAUAGCUGUGGACUUGAGAGUUGAGAUAUUGGAAAAGAAGAGUUGCCAUGGAAGUGGUGCUGGUGGAACAAAAACUUGCUAUGAUGCCAAGGAGAUAGCCCUCUUUUUAAGAAAGGUUGGAUUUGAUAAGGAUACGGUAAUCUACUUAACUCAGUCAAGGUGGGAUGACAGCCUUGAUGUUUUGAAGGAUAUAUUUCCAAAAACUUAUACAAAGGAAAGCAUCAUGCCUGAAGAUAAAAAGACAAAGUUCCUCGAAUCAGAAGAUUCAGAAUUUGAAAAAGUUAUUGACUUCUACAUCUGUUCUCAAAGUAAUGUCUUUGUACCAGCCAUAUCUGGCCUAUUCUAUGCCAAUGUAGCAGGUAAGAGAAUAGCUUCUGGCAAGACGCAAAUACUUGUUCCAGCAGACAUUCCAGGUUCCUCUGCGUCUGUCACCAAUCAUUUCUCCCCCUAUGUCUCAAAGAAGAACCACUUGGCCUAUUCAUGUGUUUGCUAGUAAUGUGUAAAAAAGGAAGGGAAAAAAGAAAAAAAAACUGAGAACAAAAAACGCACAACACCUUUAUUAUUUGAAGUCUUGAAUGAUGGUCUUACAUCACCUCAGUCAAUCUCUUCUAGUAAGCAGAUAGGUGAGUUCCAUCAUGCAAUCUUCAAUUUGUGUGUCAAAAACAAAGUUAAGCUGAUUUUUGAAGAUCAUUCUACAGUACAGGUAGCUUUGUGGACGGUAUAUAUAUAUAUUCAAGAAUGUUUUUGAUGCUUUGUAGACCGAAGUAAAUUUGUUUACUUGCAAAAUUAGCUGGUAUUUGAUGACAUUGUUUAAUGGAUUAUUUGUUGACAUUUGAGAUCCACUCCAUAUUCUGUUUGUUC